GAAACCGUUCAGGGGUAAACCUGAGAAACCCAAAAGAUCGAAUGGGGAGAUUCAUCGUCAACAGCGCUGGCUCCCGUUGGUGCGCGAUGCCCCGAAUGGGCCCUUGUGGUUCCACGGCGAGGGCACGCCACCUUCGGCUUGAAUGUUCCGGUGCCGUAGUCGUGCACUUCUCCCCUAGUAGAACGUCGCGACCCGUUGUGUGUCGGUCUACGGCCCGAGAGGGCGCCUGUCGCGUCGCCUUGUGCGCACUCGUCAGACCCUCGGUCGCCCGGCCGGCUACACGACGGUACUCGCACGGUAUCGGGCCGCAACCAAUCCAUUCUCGAAUGGCGUUUGCGUCAGGUCCGCCGCAAGCUCGGUUAGUUCUUACCCGGUGGUACGGACCUCGUGCCGUCCCCGGGCCUAACCAGCUGUUAGCAGGCGGUGUCCUCGGACUGGCCAAGCUUCGAAUUACCGGUCGGCGACGCUAUUGCUUUGGGUACUCUCAGGACCCGUCUUGAAACACGGACCAAGGAGUCUAACAUGUGCGCGAGUCAUUGGGAUGCACAAACCUAAAGGCGAAAUGAAAGUGAAGGUCGUCCAUAGCGUCGACCGAGGGAGGAUGGGCCGCGUAAUCAGGCGGCCUCGCACUCCCGGGGCGUCUCGUUCUCAUCGCGAGAAGAGGCGCACCCAGAGCGUACACGUUGGGACCCGAAAGAUGGUGAACUAUGCCUGGUCAGGACGAAGUCAGGGGAAACCCUGAUGGAGGUCCGUAGCGAUUCUGACGUGCAAAUCGAUCGUCGGAACUGGGUAUAGGGGCGAAAGACUAAUCGAACCAUCUAGUAGCUGGUUCCCUCCGAAGUUUCCCUCAGGAUAGCUGGCACUCGCUAGAACGCGGUGCGAGUCUCAUCUGGUAAAGCGAAUGAUUAGAGGCCUUGGGGCCGAAACGACCUCAACCUAUUCUCAAACUUUAAAUGGGUGAGAUCUCUGGCUUGCUUGAACAGUGAAGCCAUGAGAUUUUGGAUCAGAGUGGCAAGUGGGCCAAUUUUGGUAAGCAGAACUGGCGCUGUGGGAUGAACCAAACGCAGAGUUAAGGCGCCUAAGUCGACGCUUAUGGGAUACCAUGAAAGGCGUUGGUUGCUUAAGACAGCAGGACGGUGGCCAUGGAAGUCGGAA
rnacentral:rRNA from 1 species